rnacentral:lncRNA from 1 species
GCCCCCGGCGCCGGCACGCGGACCCGAACGAGGCGACAAGGUCGGUCCUCCCCCGCCGGGCCUUCCCCGCGCUCCCCGGCGCCCCCAGCCCGCUGACCCCCGGCCAGGCAGGCCCGCGGGGGAGGCAGGACCGGAGCCCUGAGGCCCUGGCCGGCCUCGGGGUUGAGGCUCAGCUCGGGAUAAGUGAUCUUUGGGGCCCGCAGAGGACGUCUCCCCAAGACCCAGUGGCAACCGGGUGGCACGUACCUGCCUCUUCUUGGAGUAUGGACGAGUCGAACCGGGCACAAGCAUGGAGCUGCGGGUGAGUCCCGGCUGGCGCUGGCGCGGCGCAGUGAGCACCAGCUGACGAAGAGGGCUCCCCGGCCUCGGCUCCUGCCUGACUCUCUCCCACCUCCGCCGGGGGCCCAGAAGGGACCUCCCCGGGAAAUCGGCGCCACCCAGCGGGCAGCCGCCUCAUCGCGCCUGGGCCGGCAGAGCCACACCCCGCGUCUCGCGUCACUGAGUCGCGUCACGGCUAUUGGCUUGUUCCUACUGUGGCGUCAUUAGAGCCCGGCCUCCGGCUGGGGCCACCCAGGCAACCGAUAUACACAGAGAACCACGUGGAGGAAAAGCACGCGAGUUUGGAGCGGGUGGAGCAGGAACAGAGGUGGACUGGAAUGUCACACGACGGGGCAGCUGGAAGGGCACCACUGAGUUCAGUACUUCAAAAUUGCCGUGCUCUACCUCUCCCCAGUGCACAAAAACACUCUCCACACCAAGCUGCUGCUGCUGGGGGAUGGAGGGAUGGCGUCAGCGAUUCAAGACUGUUUUUCCUACCUGUUCAGCACUUCUUUCAGCGAUAUGAAGUUAAAUCCAGAUGUCGUCAUCAUCCACUUGUUCAAACAAGAGCCCAAGGAUCAUCCUAGAUUCCUUCUCACUUCCUCUCAAUCCAUCCCUGAAACAGCCAAACCACCAAGCAGCAAGAGGGAUCUUAUAAAAAUAUGACCAGAUCACAUCCUUCAACACUUCCCUGUUACCCUUACAAUAAAAUUCAAACUCUUCACCAUGACCUCCAAGGCUCCUAUUGAAUCCGGCUCUUGUCUGCCUCUUCAGUAACAUCAUGGACCACUCCUUACCAUUCCCUCCAUCUGGCUGUGCUUCCUGCAGCUCUUCCAAUGGCUGGCUUGUUCUCACCUUUGAAGUCUCAGCUCAAAGGACACUCCCUUGGGCUCUCCCUCAUCACCCUAACUAAUAGGUCACUUAAUAUUGUUAUUAUUUUUUAGAGACAAAGUCUCACUAUGUCACCCAGGCUUGCCUCAAACUCCUGGGCUCAAGCAAUUCUCCCACCUUGGCCUCUCAAAGUUCUAGGAUUACAGGCGUGAGCCACUAUGCCUGGCUAUGUCACUUAUUAUUCUUUAUUAUCUUCUAUAUAUAAAUGAUCCCAAUCUAUAAUUAUUUGAUUUAUUGAUUGGUUUACUUGCUUAAUAUCCAACUCCCAUACUAGAAUAUAAAUGUUAUAGAACAAGAGAUUGUCUGUACCAUCCACUGUUCUAGUCUCAUUACCCCACAUAAGGCCUGGCAUGGAGUGUGCACCUAAUAAAUGUUUGAAUAAAUAUUGACUGGAUCAGGGAUUCUUCUGAUGGGCCUGUGUGCUCUAAGAGCUGUUAUAUCCACCAGCAGUUGUGUGUUAACCUAGAGAGGAGCUAAGUCCUGUCCUCAGACUGAACCCACGAUGGCUUCCUCUCCCUUUUCCCUGGUUUUGCAGAGUAUAGAAGAAAUAACAUAAAAUUUCUUUUUUUGCAAUUAGUUUGCAAAAUAGUAGAGGCUGCUUUUUGCACUCUUACUCAUGACUCCUCCUCUGGGAAGCCGCUGUCGCCUGGCAAAAGGGCCCUACAUAUGUGUUCCCACAGCACUUUGAUAAGGUGUAAUUUAUAUUCAAUGAAAUUCACCUAUUUUAAGUGCACAGUUUGAUGAGUUUUGAUAAAGGUAACCACUCCAAAGAGUUUCCUGGUGCCUUGGCUUCUUCUAUUUCUUUAAUAUCGUGAUAAAAUACACUGAAUAUAAAAUUUACCAUCUCAGCCACCUUUAAGUGUACGAUUCAGGCUGGGUGUGGUGGCUCACACCUGCAAUCCCAGCACUUUGGGAGGCUGAGGGGGGAGGAUCACUUCAGCCCAGGAGUUUGAAACCAGCCUGGGCAACAUAGUGAAACCCCACCUCUAUUUUUAAAAAAGUAUACGGUUCAGUGGCAUUAUGUACAUUUGCACUGUUGUGCUGCCAUCGCCACCACCCAUCCAUGGAACUGUUUUCAUCUUGCAAAUCCAAAACUCUGUGCCCAUUAAACAAUAACUCCCCAUUCCCUUUCCCCACAGCUCCUGGCAACCACCAUUCUAUUUUCUAUCUCUAUUAAUUUGACCUUUGGCUUCUUUUAAAAAGUUGUGGUUAAAAAGUUAUAAAUUACAAUCUUAACCAUUUUUAAGUGUAAGAUUCAGCAGUGUUAAGUAGCAGCUUUUUUUUUUUUUUUUUUUUUUUGAAGACAGGGUCUCAUUCUGUUACCCUGGAGUGUGGUGGUGUGAUCUUGGCUCACUGAAGCCUCAAACUCCCAGGCUCAAUCAAUCCUCCCACCUCAGCUACCUGAGUAGCUGAGACUACAGACAUGUGCCAUCAUGCCCAGCUAAUUUUUGUAUUUUUUGUAGAGAUGGGGUUUUGCCACCUUGCCCAGGCUCACCUUGAACUCCUGGGCUCAAGCAAUCCACCCGCCACAGCCUCCCAAAGUGCUGAGAUUACAGGCGUUAGCCACUGUGCCGGGCCUGCAGUUUCUUUUUAAGGUAGUUUUAGGUUUAGUUAGCGAUGAAUGCAGAAAAGCCCAAAUAACAGUCACUUAAAUAAGGUUGUCCACGGCUUCCCUGACAGCUCCACCAUCAUGGAGGACUCAGGCUCCUAUCUUGUGCUUUGUCAUUUGUAACACACAACUUCCAUCUAUCUCAUAGUACAAAAUAGCUGCUCCAGUUCCAGCCAUCACCUCCACAUUCCAGCUAGCAUAAGGUGAAAGUGGGAGAAAGGCACACUUUCUCUCUUUUAGAGCUCUUCACAGAAAUUACACAUACUAUUUUGUGCUUAUAUCCCAUUGGACAGAACUUAAUCACAUAGGCCCAUCUCACUGCAAUGGAACUGGGAAAUAGUCUUUCUUCUGGAUCACACAUUUCAGUUCUAGUUUAUGGGUCCCAUUGCUGAGAAGGAAGAGGAUAAUGCAUGUUGGGGAACCCCCACUGGUGUCUUCCACAACUUCCCCUCCUCAUAGUGCUGAUCACUGCACUGAAAUUGAUUCCUCCCUCUUAUUGGACUGUGGACCCCUUCAGUUAGGGGCUUGUGUCUUUUAUAGCUUAGCACAGAGCCAGGUGCAUUUAGAUGCUUAAUGUUUGUUGUACAAAUACAUGAUUUCAGCCCAGUCAGCUUAUUUUAAGAAUUAUUGUUUUUAUUAUUUUUUUGAGACAAGGUCUCACAGUGUUGCUUAGGCUGGCCUCAAACUUCUGGGCUCAAGGGGGGCCUCCCAUCUCAGCUUCUCAAGAAGUUGGGAUUACAGGUGGCUGCCACUGCACCAAGCUCUAAUCCUUUUUUUUUUUUUUUGAGACUGAAUCUCACUCUGCCACCCAGGCUGGAGUGCAGUGGCAUGAUCUCGGCCCACAACCUCCGCCUCCUGGGUUCAAGUGAUUCUCCUGCCUCAGCCUCCCAAGUAGCUGGGAUUACAGCCGUGCACCACCACACCUGGCUAAUUUUUAUUUAUUUACUUAUUUUUUUUUUUUAGUAGAGACAGGGUUUCUGCAUGUUGGCCAGGAUGGUCUCAAACUCCUGACCUCAAGUGAUCCACCUGCCUUGGCCUCCCAAAGUGCUGGGAUUACAGGCGUGAGUCACCACACUCUAAUUUUAAGACUUACUGAAGUGAAACCCUAAAGGGGGAAGAGGCUAGAGUCCUCUAGUCCAUGUUCUCACCAAAUUCAGGAAACUGCUUUAUUGCAAACUUGACAGGUGGCCUCCACCUGGCCACGCCACUGCCAGGCACUCCCCGCCUGCACUGCUGGGCACCUCCAGCCAUCACAGCCCCUUCCUGGUGCAGAGCCACACUUGGCCUCCAUGAAGCUGCCACAUUGGUCCUACCCACCCUCCAUAUGAUGUGUCUACAUCUACAG